rnacentral:rRNA from 1 species
AAUAAGAGGUCCCGCCUGCCCGGUGACUACAUGUUUAACGGCCGCGGUAUUUUGACCGUGCGAAGGUAGCGUAAUCACUUGUCUUUUAAAUGGAGACCUGUAUGAAUGGCAAAACGAGGGCUUAGCUGUCUCCCCUUUCCAGUCAAUGAAAUUGAUCUCCCCGUGCAGAAGCGGGGAUACCCACAUAAGACGAGAAGACCCUAUGGAGCUUUAGACAUAAAGCAGACCAUGUCAAAGGCUCCUUAAAAAGGAGCCAGAACUAAACCGAACACUGCUAGUAUGUCUUCGGUUGGGGCGACCACGGAGGAAAAAACAACCUCCAAGUGGAACGGGACCUAACAAGAUCCUACAACCAAGAGCAUCCGCUCUAAGUACCAGAAAAUUCUGACCAUUAGAUCCGGCCAAGCCGAUCAACGAACCCAGUUACCCUAGGGAUAACAGCGCGAUCCCCUUUAAGAGCCCAUAUCGACGAGGGGGUUUACGACCUCGAUGUUGGAUCAGGACAUCCUAUUGGUGCAGCCGCUAUUAAGGGUUCGUUUGUUCAACGAUUAAAGUCCU